rnacentral:lncRNA from 1 species
CGCCCGGCUCCAUGCAGGCGAAGCGAAGCCCGGCCGGCAGCGGGAGGACGAGGAGGUAGACGGAGGCGCUGGGAGUAGGCAGGCAGGGGAAUACUAGCUCCUAGCUCCAAACGCUAAUGCUAUGGGUACAGCUACAGGCGCAGCUAUAAACGGGUGCCAUUCAUCCCAUUCAAUUGCUUCCCCUAAUAAAACGCGCCCUCCUCCCCCCCCCCCCCCCCCCCCCCCCCCCCCCCCCCCCCCCCCCCCCCCCCCCCCCCCCCCCCCCCCCCCCCCCCCCCCCCCCCCCCCCCCCCCCCCCCCCCCCCCCCCCCCCCCCCCCCCCCCCCCCCCCCCCCCCCCCCCCCCCCCCCCCCCCCCCCNGACGCCGCGGGCCACGUCGCGGCCAGCCGGGUUCGUUUACCUUUAACUUACCUGCGGGGGCCGGGCCCCGCGCGCCCUUCGUGCUUGCCUAAAAUAAAUGCGCGGUGUGGUGAAUGAAUGAAUGGUGUGAAGCCAUGGAUACGCGCUGCGUCACGCAAUCCCGCCUCUCCUCCAGACGACGCUACCAAGAGUCCGGCCUGGGCUAUGGCUUGCUGUGGCACGCUGCCGCCACNNNNN